GAUGAACGCUAGCUACAGGCUUAACACAUGCAAGUCGAGCGGUUUGUGCUUUUGCACAUUCAGCGGCAGACGGGUGAGUAACACGUAUCUAACCUUCCCCUUACUUGGGCAUAGCCUCUGGAAACGGAGAUUAAUUUCCGAUGUGGUGUACAUUUCGCAUGUUUUGCGCACCAAAGAUUUAUCGGUAAGGGAUGGGGAUGCGCUCCAUUAGGUUGUAGGUAGGGUAAUGGCCUACCUAGCCUAUGAUGGAUAGGGGUUCUGAGAGGAAGGUCCCCCACAUUGGAACUGCGACACGGUCCAAACUCCUACGGGAGGCAGCAGUGAGGAAUAUUGGUCAAUGGCCGGAAGGCUGAACCAGCCAAGUAGCGUGCAGGAUGACUGCCUUAUGGGUUGUAAACUGCUUUUUUACGGGAAUAAUUAUGAUCACGUGUGAUUAUUUGCAUGUACCGUAAGAAUAAGGAUCGGCUAACUCCGUGCCAGCAGCCGCGGUAAUACGGAGGAUCCUAGUGUUAUCCGGAUUUAUUGGGUUUAAAGGGAGCGUAGGCGGGAGGUCAAGUCAGCUGUGAAAUGUAUCUGCUUAACGGGUACACUGCAGUUGAGACUGGUUUUCUUGAGUGCGUAAGAGGCAGGCGGAAUUCGUUGUGUAGCGGUGAAAUGCUUAGAUAUGACGAGGAACUCCUAUUGCGAAGGCAGCUUGCUGGGUCGUUACUGACGCUGGUGCUCGAAGGUGC
rnacentral:rRNA from 1 species